CCCCCGGGGGGGGUAACCUGGGAAAUUUCCUUAACCGCCUGGGUUUCAGGAGAAAGGGGGAUCCCAGGCCUCAUCUUGGGAGGGCCGAUUUCGUUAGCUAGUGUAGGGUAAAGCCUCCAAGGCUUGUUCAGUAGUGUUUGAAGGACGACCAGCCCCCUGGAAUUGAGACACGUCCAGACUCUUCGGGAGGCAGCAGUGGGAAUUUUGGACAAUGGGCGAAAGCCUGAUCCAGCAAUGCCGCCUGAUUGAAGAAGGCCUUCGGGUUGUAAAGCUUCUUUGUCAGGAAGAAACCGUGAAGGCUAAUAUCUCUUGCUAAUGACGGUACCUGAAGAAUAAGCACCGGCUAACUACGUGCCAGCAGCCGCGGUAAUACGUAGGGUGCAAGCGUUAAUCGGAAUUACUGGGCGUAAAGCGUGCGCAGGCGGUUUUGUAAGUCUGAUGUGAAAUCCCCGGGCUCAACCUGGGAAUUGCAUUGGAGACUGCAAGGCUAGAAUCUGGCAGAGGGGGGUAGAAUUCCACGUGUAGCAGUGAAAUGCGUAGAUAUGUGGAGGAACACCGAUGGCGAAGGCAGCCCCCUGGGUCAAGAUUGACGCUCAUGCACGAAAGCGUGGGGAGCAAACAGGAUUAGAUACCCUGGUAGUCCACGCCCUAAACGAUGUCUACUAGUUGUCGGGUCUUAAUUGACUUGGUAACGCAGCUAACGCGUGAAGUAGACCGCCUGGGGAGUACGGUCGCAAGAUUAAAACUCAAAGGAAUUGACGGGGACCCGCACAAGCGGUGGAUGAUGUGGAUUAAUUCGAUGCAACGCGAAAAACCUUACCUACCCUUGACAUGGCUGGAAUCCCCGAGAGAUUGGGGAGUGCUCGAAAGAGAACCAGUACACAGGUGCUGCAUGGCUGUCGUCAGCUCGUGUCGUGAGAUGUUGGGUUAAGUCCCGCAACGAGCGCAACCCUUGUCAUUAGUUGCUACGAAAGGGCACUCUAAUGAGACUGCCGGUGACAAACCGGAGGAAGGUGGGGAUGACGUCAAGUCCUCAUGGCCCUUAUGGGUAGGGCUUCACACGUCAUACAAUGGUACAUACAGAGCGCCGCCAACCCGCGAGGGGGAGCUAAUCGCAGAAAGUGUAUCGUAGUCCGGAUUGUAGUCUGCAACUCGACUGCAUGAAGUUGGAAUCGCUAGUAAUCGCGGAUCAGCAUGUCGCGGUGAAUACGUUCCCGGGUCUUGUACACACCGCCCGUCACACCAUGGGAGCGGGUUUUACCAGAAGUAGGUAGCUUAACCGCAAGGAGGGCGCUACCCACGUAGAUUCGGGCGCC
rnacentral:rRNA from 1 species